rnacentral:lncRNA from 1 species
GGAGAAAUGAAAAAAAAUACCCCCCAGAGAAAGGCUGGAAGAAGCUGGAGAAAAUGAUGAAACAGAUGAAAAUCAAUAGUACAGAGAAAAUGUCAAGAAGAGGACACCCCACAGAGGGGAAUUCAUUUGGCCUCAAGAUAGUCAUGGAAAUUUUGCUUCUUCAAUUGAUAUAAGACUCUCAACUAAUCUACUUAUGUAGAGAAUAAAUAAGCCAGA